rnacentral:rRNA from 1 species
UACGUAGGGUGCAAGCGUUGUCCGGAAUUAUUGGGCGUAAAGAGCUCGUAGGCGGUUUGUCGCGUCGAAUGUGAAAACCCGGGGCUCAACCCCGGGCCUGCAUUCGAUACGGGCAGACUAGAGUUCGGUAGGGGAGUCUGGAAUUCCUGGUGUAGCGGUGAAAUGCGUAGAUAUCGGGAGGAACACCAGUGGCGAAGGCGACUACCUGGCCUGUUUCUUGACGCUGAGGCGCGAAAGCUAGGGGAGCAAACGGG